rnacentral:rRNA from 1 species
UAAAGGAAGCGAUUCCGGCUACGGAUGGUCAUGCGUCGCAUUGGCUAGUUGGCGGGGUAACGGCCCACCAAGGCGACGAUGCGUAGGGGUUCUGAGAGGAAGGUCCCCCACACUGGUACUGAGACACGGACCAGACUCCUACGGGAGGCAGCAGUGAGGAAUAUUGGUCAAUGGCCGCAGGGCUGAACCAGCCAAGUCGCGUGAGGGAUGACGGUCCUAUGGAUUGUAAACCUCUUUUGUCAGGGAGCAAAGGACGCCACGUGUGGCGUUUUGCGAGUACCUGAAGAAAAAGCAUCGGCUAACUCCGUGCCAGCAGCCGCGGUAAUACGGAGGAUGCGAGCGUUAUCCGGAUUUAUUGGGUUUAAAGGGUGCGCAGGCGGAAUGUCAAGUCAGCGGUAAAAUUUCGGGGCUCAACCCCGUCGUGCCGUUGAAACUGGCGUUCUUGAGUGAGCGAGAAGUAUGCGGAAUGCGUGGUGUAGCGGUGAAAUGCAUAGAUAUCACGCAGAACUCCGAUUGCGAAGGCAGCAUACCGGCGCUCAACUGACGCUCAUGCACGAAAGCGUGGGUAUCGAACAGGAUUAGAUACCCUGGUAGUCCACGCAGUAAACGAUGAAUACUAACUGUCCGGGCCGAUUGAGGUCUGG